rnacentral:lncRNA from 1 species
GGGGGGAGAAGUACCACCAGUCCUUCGUCGAAGGAUGGCGCUUGAAGGUAUAGAAGUGCCUAAACAAGGAGAGGGAUGGCUGGACCUCGACUACGUGGCAGAGGGAGAGAAAUCCUAUCAAAAACCUAAAAGAAUUCGGGGCCACGGAAGCCAAGGAGAUGUCCAAGAAACGGAAGAGGGCAACGACAAAGGAAGGAAGCGGAAGCCGAAGUCCAGCACGGAAUGCUUCCUGGUACAAACAAAAGCGACC